GAUCCUGCUCCGGGGUGCACGCCAGUGCUGAGAUUCAGACCCGCGAACUUGACCCGGUUCAUGCCGGCGUAAGAAGAGCAUUCGCCUUGUCC
rfam:Achromobacter piechaudii HLE Contig_40, whole genome shotgun sequence.